UGUGUUUUAUUCUUUUUUUUAUUAUUUUUUUUACAGAGUGAAGAUCUUUCUGUUACUGGAUCUCAGCACCAUCAGCUGGGAUUGCUUAAAGAGAUGCCAUGGCUCUGGGAACGGGGUGUGUGCGCCAAAAAAGCACCAAGGAGGAACUGGAGCCUUGGCAGGACCGGGAGGGUGCCCAGAGAAGCUCUGCAAGCAGAAUGAGUGCCUUCACCCCUCUGUCAUCACCAGCCCCUGAGAGCAAUCACCACCCACCAACAGUUCCUGGAGAUAAGGCCGAGCCAGCUGGGAGAAGAAAGCCUUUGAUAUUCCCUGCCUUGCUGAGGCCUGGGCAGAGGAGGUGGAACUCAGCUGUGGAGUCCCCCUGAUCCUUCCACAGGUAUCAGCACAGGAUAAUCACAUUUCCAAGGCAAUAACAAGCACUCCCCAAGAGCAUCUGGCUAAGAAGGCUCAGAAGCAAUGACAAGACUGUGGUGAAAAGUUUGGUCCACCAACCCAACUUCUGGACGUGGGAAGGAAGAGACACCUUUUGAUAAAACAUCAAGCACUGUAUAUUUUAUUCUUUUGUUUGUCUGUGCUCCCCUUCUGAUCACCCUUUGACUUAUUAUUUCUCAAAAAGAUAUAUAGGAGAGAAAUCAUGUUUAUUCAGGGAGAACCAUAAUUUUUACGUUUAAAAGGCACCAGCUUUGUUUUAAGCCCCACAAACACACCGAGAGCUCCAAAGUUUGUGGUGCAGUUUUCUGCAGCACAGAUUUAUUCCAUUUUACAGUACCCAUGCUCUGGGGUAACAGGUAGGCCCAAUACCAGCAGUGGGAGAAGCAGACCUGGAAGAUGCUUUGGGUACAGCCCAGCCAGGUUUUAUUCAGCCUGCAAAGUCUGGCCUCGCUCUACAAACCGGUCUGCUGUUGCCAUCUGCUGGAAAAAUCCCUAAUGGAUAUUUCCAAACAUGGGGAGGAGUAUCUGCUCCUGUUACAGAAAUGCUGGGGGCUUUUUGUGCUUUUUAAGGCAGCUUUUUCCCCCUCUAGGUCCGUGUGAUCUGCCAAAGAACAAUGUGUGCACCAGGCUGUUACCACCCUCUGCACAGUGAAACACCUUCAGCCAAGGCCAGUGUAUGAGCAAAACAAUUCUUCCAACAAAAGCCUGCUACUAGAGAGGCAAAAAAUUCAUCCUGCCAAAGGAAAUCAUCCUUCCUCUCUCUCACAGCUCUCCUGUUUCAUCACACCAUUUUGGUUUGGGUUGGAAGGGACCUGGUUCCAAACCCCUGUCCUGGACACCUUCCCCUCGAGCAGGUGGCUUUGCUGUGCCCCCAGAUCUGUCACCUGAGCUGAGCAAUCCCCAUCCACACAUGUUCACACAGAGACCACACAA
rnacentral:lncRNA from 1 species